UACGUAGGGGGCAAGCGUUAUCCGGAUUUACUGGGUGUAAAGGGAGCGUAGACGGCCAAGCAAGUCUGAAGUGAAAGCCCGUGGCUCAACCGCGGAACUGCUUUGGAAACUGCCUGGCUAGAGUACUGGAGAGGCAAGCGGAAUUCCUAGUGUAGCGGUGAAAUGCGUAGAUAUUAGGAGGAACACCAGUGGCGAAGGCGGCUUGCUGGACAGAAACUGACGUUGAGGCUCGAAAGCGUGGGGAGCAAACAGG
rnacentral:rRNA from 1 species